UAAACUUCCGGAGAAAAUAUUAAAUUUACAUGAAAAAGGCAGCAUAAAGCUGCACAUAUUGGCUUGCCUGUCCACAAUAGAAAAUACAUGACAAAAGACAAACAGUUCCAACAUUGACAAUUAUUGCAUCCUAAUAAAUAGAGUAGAGUUUAUUCACGAUCAGGAAAUAGGAGAAGCAUCUGAAGGCUUGCUACGCAGGAGAGAUGAUGCUGGACGAUAGAGAUAGGAAUAAUGGGCUUACUUUAUUGGCCAGCAUCAUACUCCUGCAUAUUAAGCCUCAAAAGAUGCUAACAAAACUAAGUUAAUUACCAUGAUGGUUUAUAGAUAGUUGAGACAGAGAUCAUUUAUCUGUUUUGUUCAUAGACUAUAGUUUGCAGUUAAUUCACAUAGUUCAGCUAACAAUGUUAAUUGUUAGUUAACAGGUUCUUUCUAUUUUGGAUGCAGAUGACAGACUUGGAUCGACACUUCGCCGAACAUGGGUAUUGAAAAGCUUAACAAUUUAAUGAUUUGAUUCAUCAAAUGACAAUUGUAUGAAAAGCAAACGACCUGGACCUCCAAAGGACGUCGGCAGCUGGUAGAGAAGUUCAUUUUUUCCUCUUCAAAACACAAGAAAAUGCGGACCUAGAUCUCUAAAGGACUAGAAUACAAAACACAUAAGCUUCAAAUCCUAACUCCGUCUUUACGGUCAGAGUAGAACUGGGCAGAGAGUUUCAAGUAUAAGGUGAGGUUGAUUCAUCUAAGAAAAGAGUUUCAACAACAUAAAUAUCACAAGCCAACUAUAAAUAAGCAAGCAAGAAGGAUAAACCAGAGAAGGCGCAAAAUAGGCAAACAUACUUGGUAUCUCAAGGAAUAUUGUGUAAGAAGAUAUAAGGAAAUAGGAACUAUCAUAUCCAACCACAGCUGCAGAAUUUGUUAUUUUCCUUUUGCAAGUGUAACUGAUCAUCAUCAUUUCUUUCUUUUUUGGAUUUCAGCAAGUUCAGUUCCAAGUUUCUAUGGCUUCUGUCCUGAAGCAUAUUAUCAAAUUGUUUAGGACAGUGAAGUAUAUGGAAGUUCAGAUGAAGGCACUGAGAACAGAGGAUUCUACUGACAAUGCAUCCCCUGAGCAAAAAAUAAAGAUAGUUCAAGAAAAUUUAAUCAAGUCAGAAGCAUGUCAAUUUGGGUUUGAUUUGAAUUUAUCCCAUCCAAUUGCAAGAAGUGAUUCCUCAUGUGAAACAUUUAUUUGUUUAGUUCAUUAAAAAAAUAUGAAAUUAUUGUGUCCAAACACACAUGUAUGUAUAUAUAAUCGUACAAGUAAUAUAAGAUUUUUAUGUUCGGA